rnacentral:rRNA from 1 species
AUUGAACGCUGGCGGCAUGCCUUACACAUGCAAGUCGAACGGUAACAGGUCUUCGGAUGCUGACGAGUGGCGAACGGGUGAGUAAUGCAUCGGAACGUGCCCAGUAGUGGGGGAUAGCCCGGCGAAAGCCGGAUUAAUACCGCAUACGACCUGAGGGUGAAAGGGGGGGAUCGCAAGACCUCUCGCUAUUGGAGCGGCCGAUGUCAGAUUAGCUAGUUGGUGGGGUAAAGGCCUACCAAGGCAACGAUCUGUAGUUGGUCUGAGAGGACGACCAGCCACACUGGGACUGAGACACGGCCCAGACUCCUACGGGAGGCAGCAGUGGGGAAUUUUGGACAAUGGGCGCAAGCCUGAUCCAGCAAUGCCGCGUGCAGGAAGAAGGCCUUCGGGUUGUAAACUGCUCUUGUCAGGGAAGAAAUCUUCUGGGCUAAUACCCUGGGAGGAUGACGGUACCUGAAGAAUAAGCACCGGCUAACUACGUGCCAGCCGCCGCAGUAACAC